AGAUUCUUCACUCUAUGUUGCUACAACUCUCUCUUUUUCAUCUUCUCCUUUGGCCUCCUUCAAACUCCAAACCAACUUCAUCACUCAUCUUCUCUGGAUACAAUAAAGGCAAGAACCAUGGCCAACCAAUCAGAUUUGGGAAAAGCAUUCUUCAAGGAAUCAGCAUCAGGGUCGCUCAAGCGCCCUCAGACAGAGGGUCGCUCAAGCGCCCUCAGACAGAGGGUCGCUCAAGCGCCCUCAGACAGAGGGGGCUCCAGCUCAAAUGCACCAAAUGCACUUCCUGGCUCACGUGCGCUCCAGCACCCUAGACAGGGGGGCUCCAGCCCCAGCGGAGCAGCCUGAAGCACGUUUUGGCAGCACUGUACAUGUGACCCAGCAUGCUUCCUGUGACCAGCUGACUUGGCCUCCAAGCUUGUCUUAUAUUUUGAAUUUUGGAGGGAAAUUAGAUCAGAAUUGAGGCCCUUCUUCACCUAUAAAUAAGAGGGCCUCCCCUUUGUAAUUCUCACUUUUGGAUGUAAUGAAAUGCUCCAGAAUUGUUUGCUCAACCUCUUAUAUCCCUUAGUCACCUCUGAAUUUCGAAUUCAGAUACUCCCCUCUAGCUUCCUUCCUUAGUAGGAAGGCCUUCUCAGCUUGGAGGCAUCAUACACACACCACAUCUUCAUCCAAACUUUCAUCAAACACCUUUCGAUGCAUCCAUUUCACUGCACCAAAUCUCAUUCCACUGUGCAUCUGUUUCGAAGCUUCUUCUUGCGUGCUUAAUGCUAGGAGAGGGUUCCAUCAAGUGGUAUCAGGAGCUUAGGUCGUCCACGCACCAAGAGUUAAGCUAUUUCAUCCAUUUUCUAUUCCAAUUCUGUUUCUGUUUUUGCAUUCUGUCCAGUUUUUGUUCCAACACUGUUUCCAUUUUGUUUUGGUUGUGUUCUUCUUAAUUUGGUGUGUUUAAUCAUUGUUUGGUGUGCUUCCAUUCUAUUAUCAUGUUUACUUUUAAUUUUAAAAGGUGAAUCUUCUUUGUUUGAGUCAUUUUCAGCCUUAUCUUUCAAUUUCAAGUUUGUCAUAAGUCAUGUGCUCAAAAUUCUGAUGCAGUUUUUAAUUUGUCAUUAAAUCUGGUUUUCCUGCUUUGGUUUUUGGAUGUGCUUGAGUUCAGAUGAAAGUGAAUUCAUAUAUCAACCAAAUAAGGCAAUGAGAGCUUAAUCUAGCCUUGGUGAUAUGAGCAGAAUCACUAAAACUCUGGUUCAAGUUUCAAAUCUGAUUGAAAAUUCAUUUCUGGUUUAAGUUUUCUUUGAAUCUGUUUUAUGACUUUUAAGUCUGUUCUGAUGCAUUGUCCACCACUGUUUGGUGUUGUCUAAGGUUGCAAAUGGUAUGGCAAACCAUAAAAAGCAAUGAAAUGCAUCUAGCAUAGCUUGGUUGCCUCAUAAACCAGAAACACCUACUGUUUUUGUCUUAUUUCAAGCUUUUCACGGUGCUUAAAAUCCUUGGUUGUCUAAUCUGAAUUUAAUUCAUUCUAGCUGAUAAAUUCCAGCUUGAUCUAGUGUAUUAAGACUUCCUUGAGUCAUUUUCAUUGUUGCUAUAGCUUUUGAAUCAAUCAAACUUGAUUUUGGUGGAUUGUUGGGGUAUUUUUCUGCAUAAAUUGGCCAUAACAAAGUCUGAUUUUGAUUUCUGCUAAUUCUGAGCUAUUUGAUAACUUGAACAAGUUUAAAAUGGUGUUUAAAAGUUGCUAGAAGAUUUCAAUUAGUAAUAUCUUGGCCUAAGUGCAGAGUUGUGUCUUAAACCAUCAUAUUUUGAGUUAUAUUAGGAAGUGGCAAGGUCAAUUUGAGUAGCAAUCUGUUUUUAACUCAUUUCAGAGUUUGAACACGUUUCAAAUCACUAAUUAAAGUUGCUGAAGUGAUUCAUUUCGAGUUUAAGCCACUUCUGUGCAAAUUUGAGUUUCAAACCACCAAAACCAAGCCAAUUUUCUGGUGCAGUGUUGAAAACUGAAUCUGUUUUGAUGAAUGUACUUUGAAAUCCAAUUUGGCUUGCAGCAAUACCUGGUUCAGUGAUUAAAAAUAUAAUUAAAUGGUUAAAAGAAGCAAAGCAAAGUGUUAAAAGGGAUUAUGAACCGUGCAGCCUAGUCCAAACCCAAAAACACAAAAUCUGGGUUUCUUUAAGGCAUCUCAUCGAACACCUUCUGUUUUUAUCAAACAGUUUCGUGCUAAUUGUCUUUCAACCUGCAUUUUGAGUUUUCUUGCUUUCUUAAUUUGUUCUAGCACCUUUCUUAGGAUCCAUUUGAGUGCCUACUUCUGUUGUAAACCUAUUUUUAUUGCUUUUGAGCUUUUGGCCUCUUAAAUUGUCCAGUUCAAGUCAAAUUUUGGUGUUGAAACUGGUGCAGAUUUUUAAUCUGUUUGGUGACUGUUUUGGAUGAUUGCAAUGGUGUUGUGAAGUCCAAUUGGAGCAUUCAAGUUGCAGAACCAUUUCCCUACCAAGGUAGCAUCUUAGGAAGUGGAGAGGAACCUGAAUUUGUGAAUUCAAGUGUGCUGUCCAGCAAACAUUAAUUGUAUUUUUUUUUUCAGCAGCAUAAAACACUUUUCUGCAGUGAGAAUUUGAGUGAAAAUUGGCAACUCCUACAGCCAAAUUUUGAGAGACCAGCUCCAUACCAAAGUGAAUGAGAAAUUGAGUGUUUGGAACCUAAAAGAAGCUUGCUAGAGCACCCUGAAACAGUAAAGGAAGUGAGAUUUGAGUGAAUGCACAUGAAGCCAAAUAGCCUUGGCCGAGAGAAAUACUGCACUAUUGUCCAAUGCUGAAACAGUCCAGUUUCAGAAUCUGAUUUGUGUUAUGCAAUUGGCUUAUACAGUUCUGAUUUGAGAAACAUUUUAAAUGAUCAAAAGGAUUUUGAAACUUGUUGAUUGAACUGGUUUUUACAAUUGAAGGUGCAGAUUUCAGUUUUUAAAAAAUUGUUCAAAACAGUUUUCAUCACACCUUGUUUAAACCAAUUCAGCUUUCUGAUUUUUGGUGCAGUUUGGUGUUGUCUUCUAGACAAUAACCCAGUUUUCAUCCAGUUCUGUUUUGACCAGUUUGGUCCUUAAAUUCAAGCUGAUUCCAUCAUCAAUUUUGGACCAAUUGAAUAAAUUGAUUUGCUGAACUGGAACAUUAAAUAUUCUUGCUGGUUUGAUAUAACAGUGCAGGUUUUCACUUGAAGGGUGUCUUAUAGCUUGUGCAGCAGAUUUUCAAAAACUGUUUUGGAGAGCUUUGUGAAGACCAUUAAAAGUGAGAUGAACGUGCUCUAAUUGGAGUUUCACGGUUGCACAGAAACUAAAUAGCAGAGUCAAUACUCUGCAGUAGCCAACACUGUUCCAGAAGCUUGAAACCUCUUUGAGCAAGGAUUGAAGGGCUAAAGCACUAAGAGAGCAACAAAAACAAGUUUCAAAUCAGUGCACAUAUGGAGCAGCAGAGUAGUUUAGCUUGAUUCUUUUGAGUUUUGAACUUGUAAUAUGUUUCCAUUUUAGUUUUCAGUUUUGUUUGUAAAAGGCCAUUUAAGACCAAGUGUUUGGAAGAGUCCUUGGUGCUCUCUCCAAUCUUGGCAAUUUUCUUUGCUUGCUUUGAUAGUAGACGGUGAGUGUGUCUUGUUAGCCAAAGUUACAAGCCUCACCUAAGAUUUCCUUUGUUUUA